rnacentral:rRNA from 1 species
GAUGAACGCUGGCGGCGUGCCUAAUACAUGCAAGUCGAGCGAACGGACGAGAAGCUUGCUUCUCUGAUGUUAGCGGCGGACGGGUGAGUAACACGUGGAUAACCUACCUAUAAGACUGGGAUAACUUCGGGAAACCGGAGCUAAUACCGGAUAAUAUUUUGAACCACAUGGUUCAAAAGUGGAAGACGGUCUUGCUGUCACUUAUAGACGGAUCCGCGCUGCAUUAGCUAGUUGGUAAGGUAACGGCUUACCAAGGCAACGAUGCAUAGCCGACCUGAGAGGGUGAUCGGCCACACUGGAACUGAGACACGGUCCAGACUCCUACGGGAGGCAGCAGUAGGGAAUCUUCCGCAAUGGGCGAAAGCCUGACGGAGCAACGCCGCGUGAGUGAUGAAGGUCUUCGGAUCGUAAAACUCUGUUAUUAGGGAAGAACAUAUGUGUAAGUAACUGUGCACAUCUUGACGGUACCUAAUCAGAAAGCCACGGCUAACUACGUG